rnacentral:snRNA from 1 species
AUACCUUUUUGGCCUUUUGGUUAAGAUCAAGUGUUGUAUAUGCUUUUAUCAGUUUAAUAUCUAAUAUGUGGGUCAUCGACUCACAUGAUAUUAACUCAAUUUUUUCCUGGGAGAAUGUCCACCACGGCAGCUUGCUAUCGAUGCUUUCAAGUGUCAUCUUGGUAUUGCACUAUAGCCUUGGCCCGACACACCCCAA